rfam:Populus trichocarpa scaffold_6_contig_310, whole genome shotgun sequence.
UCUAGAACUCGAGAUAUGGGCUGAACACUAAACAGUGUUUUGACUGCAGGACAAAUUCCAACUUCUCCGUUGUUGCUACCAUUGGAACUCGAAAAUGACACUUUUAAAUCUUGGACUCUUCAUGAAAGUUUUAGGCCUAUGUCUUAGCUUUCCAUA